rnacentral:rRNA from 1 species
UACGUAGGGUGCAAGCGUUGUCCGGAAUUAUUGGGCGUAAAGAGCUCGUAGGUGGUUUGUCGCGUUGUUCGUGAAAACUCACAGCUCAACUGUGGGCGUGCGGGCGAUACGGGCAGACUAGAGUACUGCAGGGGGAGACUGGAAUUCCUGGUGUAGCGGUGGAAUGCGCAGAUAUCAGGAGGAACACCGGUGGCGAAGGCGGGGUCUCUGGGCAGUAACUGACGCUGGAGGAGCGAAAGCGUGGGGAGCGAACAGG